UAGAGGAUCUCUGGACUGAAUGUUCUUUAAGCUCAACCGUUACAUUUAAGCAAGGCCCGACUUCAGGACUUUAGGAGUGGCCAGGGCGGGGGAUACUGUGAGGAACCUGGGAUGACAGGGUUAGAGUGUUUAUUAAAGAUAGAACGUCACCUGGAGCUAUUUCUUGUAGCAUGCUGAGGGAGGGGGUAACAGAGUGACUGGUGACAAUGACUGAGGGAG